UCAAAAUAAAAUGGGGUUACGUGACAACGUGAUGACGUCAAAGCAGUCAUUGGUCUCCUCACCUGCCCCGCGGAGAUCCCCCACACUGUGGUGAACGGUCCCAGGCCCCGCCGAAGUUAUUGUGCAUGUAGUUAGGCAAGUACAUCCGCAGACAUAUUUCUAACGUGUGUUGUUGAAGUUUAAACUAUUGCUCUACUUCAGGUUAGUCACCUGUCCCCUUUGUUUCGUGCUCACAUGUCUGGCGGAGCUGUCUUUCGAGGGCCGGCGGGGACUAACGACUGUUGGAUACACGUGGGGAAUCUCCCCCUGACAUCCGCACCAAGGAUGUCGGGGAUGUGUUUUGUAAAAAAAAAUCCUUCGAGGACCCGAGGUUUUGGACUGCUCUCAUUGUCUCCCCAUUGCAGAGCCGGAACAGGAUUCAGGAUUAGGAUUAGGCUUCGGGAUGGCUACAUGGAGCAGGAGCAUUUUACCGGGAGAGCAUCCUGAACCUCGGCCCUGUCCACAUCAAACCGGACAUUGUAGUGAAAUAUUUCAACUAAAUUGGCUCCCAAACAAGUCAAAUGUGGGACCUCAGAGAUCCUAUCACUGACAGCAUCCUGAUGGAUUUUUUUUUUUUUUUGGAUGGAUCCACGCACGUAAGGAGAGUGGUAAAUGGUGGGCAAGCAUUAACAGCGGAGGUGGGAGGCAAUAGGGCCUAAUGUGUUUUCUUUCCUCUUACGUGAGAUGAUGAGUUUUUCAGUAUCUUUUAAAGAUUUGUUCUCUUGAAUAAAAGGUUCACUCUAUAGUUGCAUA